CUCAAUUUCACGCUAUUUUAUUCAAAUCACACAAUCAUUAUCGAUUUCCAGAUCGAUCUCCUAAUCCAUAUCGAUUUCAUCUCAAUUCGAUUCUGCAAAAUCCAAAUCCAUAUCGAUUUCCAUAUCAAUAUGCAAAAUCACGAGCUGUUCAUUACGAUCUGCAAAAUUACGAGUUGUUCAAUUCAUACUGAUUUCAUCUCAAUUCGAUUCUCCCACAAUUGCCGGCGUGUUCUCUGCAAUUCAUUCCACAAUUUCGUUUGAAUAUGAGUGAAUCGAUUAUCAACUUUUAUUUGAGUGUUUUUCCAGAAGGUUACUGCAUAAUGUGUUACAUAUUGCAGUCCUACAUAUGGUUGGUUGCAUUCAAUCCAGGAAGCUUUCUACAAGCUGAUUGGUGUCCAUGAAGGAGAAGGCCAUGAAUUUGAUGACCAAACCAUUGCGUCGAUGUAGAAAUGUGUUCCCGGGACUAGAAAUUGUGGCAGAAAUGAAUAAGAGAUCACUUAGUUCGUUUCGAAGUACUUGAAGAUUGUAGUCGUAUUUGUUUUUACCUUACCAAAUUGUAUUUUAAGUCCAUGAAUAUUGCUUUGUUACCACAUAGUAUUUGCAGUUGGCAUACUCUGUUUUUACCAGAUUGCUGCAUUAUGUGGUACAUAUUGCAGUCCACUGUAUGAUUAAUUGCACUUUAUAUAUGAUCUGCCUAAUGGUUAAA